CGUGAUACUAUGUAUGUAAAUACAAUAUUAUAUAUUUUCAGGUGCUGAAGACAUAUGUUCGUUGCCACCGGAAGUGGGUCCCUGCAGAGCCGGUUUUCGGAAAUUCGCAUACUACAGCGAGCUGAACAAGUGUAAAUUAUUUACAUACGGUGGUUGUCAAGGAAACGAAAACAACUUCGAAACACUGCAAGCAUGUGAGCAAGCUUGUGUGAAAAAGUGAUACUAAAAAAGACGCAUCCAGUGACCGCUCAGCCUUAUUCUCAAACUAUAUUGAAUUUUAUAUAAAUAAAUAUUGGUAAAAAUAUUAUAUCCCA